UACGGAGGGAGCUAGCGUUGUUCGGAAUCACUGGGCGUAAAGGGUGCGUAGGCGGGUCUUUAAGUCAGGGGUGAAAUCCUGGAGCUCAACUCCAGAACUGCCUUUGAUACUGAAGAUCUUGAGUUCGGGAGAGGUGAGUGGAACUGCGAGUGUAGAGGUGAAAUUCGUAGAUAUUCGCAAGAACACCAGUGGCGAAGGCGGCUCACUGGCCCGAUACUGACGCUGAGGCACGAAAGCGUGGGGAGCAAACAGG
rnacentral:rRNA from 1 species